AUGGACGGCGGAUUGCACGGGAGGCACGCGACGCACGGGCAGUGGUUGUGCGGCUCCGUUCCCCUCUCUCCCUCUACCCCGGGCUCGCCGGAGAUGGGGGACGCCGGCGCUUCCACCUUCAAUCCGCUCCUCCGGCGCGGCGCAAACACUUCCGGCCCCUGUGAUGGAAAGGAGGAUGCAAUGUCGGGACAAAUGCUUAAGCGAGGGGUAAAGGCGAUGCCCACAGAAGACCACAUAAGAGGGAAUCCAAAGAAGCAGCUAAAUUUAACCGAAGUGUUGGCUGAGGCAGUGAAGUGUGCUCAAGCUCUCAAGACUGAUGAAUUGAUUACUGACACUAGAUUUAAGGAAGCUUUUGCUAAGCUGAUAAAUGAAGUGUACCCACGUCUACCUGAGAGUCUACAGGAUCAACUGCUUGCUGAUUUCAAACUCAACAUCCUCCGUCGGGCGCAAGAGAAAAAUACUCGCCCGGUUGAGUUGAUGGAUGGCGAACAGAAGAACUUCCUCGGGAAGAAAGGAGUUCGUACCAAUACAUUGUGGAUUAUAGAAAAGCUAGUCCUGUUAGUUGGCGUAUGCUGCUUCAUCUACCUCAUGAGCUUCUAUGUCACUGGGUAUUGA
rnacentral:rRNA from 1 species